GCGAAGAGGUCACACCCGUUCCCAUUCCGAACACGGCAGUUAAGCUCUUCAGCGCCGAUGGUAGUUGGGGGUUUCCCCCUGUGAGAGUAGGA
rnacentral:rRNA from 1 species